rnacentral:tRNA from 1 species
UCCCAGGUGGCUCAGUUGGUAAAGAAUCUGCUUGCAGUGCUGGAGGCCCAGGUUCAAUCCCUGGGUGGGGAA